GAGGGUAUAGCUCAGUGGUAGAGUACGGGCUUAGCAUGCAUUAAGUUCUGGGUUCAACUCCCAGUACUUUCA
rfam:Camelus ferus unplaced genomic scaffold scaffold1095, whole genome shotgun sequence.